rnacentral:misc_RNA from 1 species
AACGCACCUUGCGCUCCUUGGUAUUCCGAGGAGCAUGCCUGUUUGAGUGUCAUGAAUAUCUCAACCCAACAAAAGUUGCGUAUAUGCGCACUUUUUAGGGCUUGGACUUGGAGGUUUUGCCGGCUUUGUAGUUGGCUCCUCUCUAAAUGUAUUAGCUGAGUCUUUUAAGACAGCAGCCUCGGUGUGAUAAUGUCUACGCCGUGUGUAUGCGUCUUUAUUAUGCUACCCUCUCUUACACUUGCUUCAUUGUGAGUUAUAUAGGGUGUGUGUGGCUGGGGCAAAGCUUCUAAUAGUCUUAGGACAAUAUUUACUUGACAUCUGACCUCAAAUCAGGUAGGAUUACCCGCUGAACUUAA